UGAGCUACGCGCCGACUUCUGGAAUGAGGGAACACAAAUCCGUUGGAUCUGUUGUAACUAACCUAAAACUGAACUCCCUUAACUCUUGCAUAUUUGCUAACAGAUCCCUCAGCAAUAAACUAAACACCCGUGCAUAUUUUACCCGUCAGAGGAAUCGAACUCCAGACCAGAGAAAUCAAGAUACCAGAGGAAUCAAUAUGUCAGCGGAGUCACAGUCAGAGAAAUCAUGCCAGAGGAAUCGAAUGCCCGAAUGCCAGAGCAGCGAAGUCACAUCACCAGAGAACUCCAGUUCGGAGGACUCAAGUCCAGAGCAGAGCAAAGCAUCACCAGAGAACUCAAGUUCAGAGCAGCGAAAUCUCCAUUCCGCUGGUGACCCAUUUCUCUGGCGAGAUCAGAGAACCUGUGUAGACUAAUUGUAUGUAGAUACUUUACUCACAGAGUUCUCGGCUAUAAGUUGCUACAAGAUCUCAAGGCCUUCCUACCUAUGUCAUCAAGGUAAGUUUUGAGGACAUUUGGCCUUUCAACAUUUCUUUCAUUAAUCUCAACAUACAUGAGAAAAAAUCAAGAUACACACACAGUAGCCGAUACAAGAAAGGAAUAUUAGGGUUAAAAUUAAGCUUAAUACCUGGGAAGAGAAUCAGAGCUGACAUUAAGCCUAUCAGANAAAAUGGUGAGCGUAGAGCAGGAAGCCCCUUUGUGAAGCUUGAGUUAAAGAGUAAAUAUUAAAAUAUGAGUGUCAAUUUGAAACAAGAGCAGCACGCAUGUGAAAUGCAGGAGGGUGUGACUGAAAUUGUUAAUCAAACUAAGCGGUGAUGCAAUUUGACAAGGCAAUAAAGUCGAAAUUCAAGAAGCUUCACGUACCCAAGGUGAAAUCUUUAAUAUGAGAAAUAGGAGAAAAAAGAAAAGAAAAGUUGAAGGCGGUAAUGGAACAAACAAAACUAAUGAAGAGGAUUAUGAUUUACCAAAUAAAAUAUGAUACAUUAACCAUUUCACGUUUAAUAGCUAACAAUACAUUAACAAUCAGAGCCUUGCGAAAUGGUACAAACAUAUCAAAUAUAAAUUUAUCAUAAUUGUGACAAGGUAAAGCAUUUUGAUAAUGAUAAUAUUAAGAUGUAUGGACAAAAUCGUCAAAGGUCAAUAAUUAAUUAAAGAUGUGUUGAUAGCUUUGCAGGUUGCAUUCCAAACUCAAAGAGUUCUCGGCUAUAAGUUGCUACAAGAUCUCAAGGCCUUCCUACCUAUGUCAUCAAGGUAAGUUUUGAGGACAUUUGGCCUUUCAACAUUUCUUUCAUUAAUCUCAACAUACAUGAGAAAAGAUCAGAUACACACACAGUGCCGAUACAAGAAAGGAAUAUUAGGGUUAAAAUUAAGCUUAAUACCUGGGAAGAGAAUCAGAGCUGACAUUAAGCCUAUCAGAGUUGCCUUUGAGCUUAAGAUCAAAUAAGAACGUCAGAGCUGACAUUAAGCCAUUGAUAUCACAAUUCCCAAAAAAUAACAGUAGAUAUAAGAUAAGACCAACUUAGUCUGCAAAUGAGGAGAUUUAUUACGAAUUAAAUAUCUACAACUACAAUUUCAUAACAGACUUUAAGAACUGGAAAACACUGCUUCAGUUUGGUAUGAAUGGCUGGUUCUAGGCCUCUAAUUGAUUACAUAUUUGCACUCACUUACACACAAUGAAUUUGUGUGUUUCAUUAAAGCUAUCAAAAUGAUUAAGCACAUAUGGACAUCAAGCGAAUCAAGGUCAUGCCAGAUUUGAUCAACACCUUACAAUUAAUUUUGAAAAGCAAUCAACACAUAAGCUAAUAAAAAAAUCAUUACAUCUCUCUUCCAAAACUUCCUGGCUCAAAAUCAGUCUUGUGCCAAUUGAGAGGGCCGACAGAACAAGAAAUAUGGGAAGAUCAAUAAUGAUGAAACUAGUUUAGACAUUGAAUCAGGACACAUGUUCUGCAUCAUUUCUCUUGGAUCAACAACUAACCAGCUCACAUAUUUCACCAAAAUAUGGGUGCUCGUCCCAAUCUGACUUUCAAACUAUUGCAACCUGGCUAAAAGAUACUCAAUACUCAUAGUAAUAAUUGUUAAAGGAUCAAAUCCUUUUCCAUAUUCCACAUGAACCAUCAAAUACCACCAGAUCAAUUAAACAAAUUAAAUUUACAACCACCACAGAUGGAGUUAUGAUAACAUAACAUCUUUCAAUAUUCAUGAAACUAUAAAUAACAAUUCACGUCUCAUGUUUCUCCACAAUCCAUAUUUUAUCAACUAUCCAAGUAACGAUGUGAAUUCUAAUUAGUAGAAAAGGUAUCAGUGGCAUUCCACAAGUUAUGCUCACGGAUUUAAUACAAACCACAAAGGACAAGUUCAUGAACAAGAUGCUAGCAAAGAAGGAUCAGAAUUGAGAUAAAGUAGUGGAGAAUUUUAGAUUAAAAUGCAGAUUACCCUUAUUCUGCCACAGCAUAUCGAGUGCCUCCAUGUCGAGGCUACGCUUUUUAUAUCAGCUGCAGUAGGCUGCAAACUGUAUGUUGUGCCAAUGGUCAGGUAGAUUUCAUCAACUAGCUUCUUGGAUAAAGAAUCUUCGUCGGCGAAAAUGCGAGCAUGUCGCUGGAGGUGCCGUGAACGGCCGCAUAAGGUUUCAGCUAUUGGGGAAUGAGCUCCGUUGAUUCUGAUUUCGCCUCAAAACUCUUCUGAAUGGAAUGCGAUGAGGAAUCGAGGGGAGUGACGUUCGACCCUGAUCUUCUUGUUCAGAAAUUUUAGUUGGCGCUGCUGUCGGGGCGACGCUCGUCUUCAGAUGUUCGCCGAGGGAGAAGGAUUGGCGCCACUAGCUUUUGCAGGCGGUAAGGAGGCGACUAUAGAAUUUUGGGGGAAAUUGCUUGGAGUUUUUUGGUCUUCGGUCGAUUAGGUGAAUAGAGAGACCGGCCGAUAGAUUCAAGAAGCGUGUGAUAGAGGAGGUUCACGGGAAUGGCGGCGUGACUACUAGAAAAAUGGAGGAACCUCCGCUGGAAAAGACGAGUUGGGAGAGAGGAACACCGUGGCUAAUCGCGGCGACUGACCGCCGAAUAUCAGCGAGGGAGGAAGGGAGAGAAAGAAAAGAUGUCAAUUUUUGCCUUCUGCCCGAUUUUCCUAGAGGCUAAUCCGUUGGAGAUGGUGUAUGCCGGGCAUUUUCUUUUUUCUUUUUGCAAGAAUAAUCGAACAAAAGAAUAGAGUGAUUGUAGAACAGUAAUUCAAUGAACGAACAAAUAGAAGAGAAAUAUCGAGAGAUAAUGAAGAAAGUUGUUUGAAUAAGGAGGAAAGUGAAGAGAAGUUGGACUUGGGCAAAUCAACUUUGUAC
rnacentral:lncRNA from 1 species